AAGAAGAAUUGAGCAUUGACUACCGAAAAAUAAUGUAAGAUUGUUGCAAAUGUCCUCUUCGAUAUCAUACCAUAGCAGUUAUUUUCCCUAAAUUUUGGUAUGAUGAACAAUUUGUUAAUAAUAUGUCGUCGAACAAUUAUGUACCUUUUUUCUUUGAUGACGUUAUUGAUUGGAUAUAUGUUUAGAUUUCUUCGAUAAAAGAGAGCAAAUCAGAUUACAAGAGAUUCUCCAUGAUUACAGGGACUUUUGAGCCAGAGAGAUGUGAUGGCCGUGGGACAUGGAUGGAAACAUUACACACAAUGAUAGAUGUCAAGCUAUGAACUUAUGCACCUGUGGUGAUUGUUGUCUCAACAGAUAAGUUGAGUUGUUGGUUGUUGGAAGAGAGAGUGAAUGAGGCUGUAAAUUCUCAGCUCCGCAGAACGAAUGGUGCUUCUAAUUGACACCUUCAAUUCCGUCAUGUAGAGGUAAAUAUAAAGGUUCAUAACGAACAUGUUGUUGUUGGAUUUUGUAAUAUUCUUCAGUUAACUGUUUUUUCAUUGGAGAUUUGAAUUUUUUAUUAUUUUUGGGGUUUUGUUAAAAUGGGUAUUUAAAAGUUCAUAAAUGUCUAUAGUGGUAUCAGGAAGAGCAUUUUAAUAUUGUUUCCCCUAUCAUGUUUGAUAUAGUUCAUACUUUUUGAAUUUUAGUUCAUUUAUUAAUGUUUCUGUUCAUAGCAAAUUGAUUGAACAUACUUCUUGCUUUCUAGAUUAUUAUUCACUUUAUUUUUGUUGGAAAUUCUCUUCAUGGUCUUCAUCUUUCCUUAAUUGUUGCUAAUCAAGUUGCAAUGAAAUCUAUGAUAAUACAGGGUGCUACAAGUACUUUUACAAAGAUCUGUCACCAUUUCAUGUCUUAAUUUUAUUGGCAUGGAGAUUAAAACCUACCAAAUUCGUUGGUUACGUUAUGCAAGAGUUGUGUUCUUUAAUUAAAUCAGGUUUGAGAUAGUUCAUACUUUUCGUUUAUUUUUUUUCCUUACAUUUUGUUCAUCUUCUUUCAUCUCAACCUGAUUAAAAAUUCCAUCUUUGCAUUAAUGUUUCAAUCGUUCAAAACAGAUACAAUAUC
rnacentral:lncRNA from 1 species